rnacentral:rRNA from 1 species
UUAAAGGAAUUGACGGGGCCGCGACAAGCGGUGGAGCAUGUGGUUAAUUCGACGCAACGCGAAGAACCUUACUGGGCUUGACAUCCCGAUCGUACCUGCUGGAACAGCGGGGUCAGUUCGGCUGGAUCGGAGACAGGCGCUGCAUGGCUGUCGUCAGCUCGUGUCGUGAGAUGUUGGGUUAAGUCCCGCAACGAGCGCAACCCUUGUCCUUAGUUGCUACAUUCAGUUGGGCACUCUAAUGAGACUGCCGGUGACAAACCGGAGGAAGGUGGGGAUGACGUCAAGUCCUCAUGGCCCUUAUAGGUGGGGCUACACACGUCAUACAAUGGAUGGUACAAAGGGUCGCCAACCCGCGAGGGGGGAGCCAAUCCCAUAAAGCCAUUCGUAGUCCGGAUCGCAGUCUGCAACUCGACUGCGUGAAGUCGGAAUCGCUAGUAAUCGUGGAUCAGAAUGUCACGGUGAAUACGUUCCCGGGUCUU